CGCUGGCGGUGUGCUUCACACAUGCAAGUCGAACGAGGUAGCAAUACCUAGUGGCGGACGGGUGAGUAACGCGUGGGAAUCUGCCUUUAGAUGGGGGAUAACGGGUCGAAAGACUCGCUAAUAUCGCAUAUGACGAAAGUUAAAAGGAGUAAUCCGUCUAAAGAUGAGCCCGCGUCCGAUUAGCUAGUUGGUAGUGUAAAAGCCUACCAAGGCGACGAUCGGUAGCUGGUCUGAGAGGAUGAUCAGCCACAAUGGACUGAGACACGGCCCAUACUCCUACGGGAGGCAGCAGUGGGGAAUUUUACGCAAUGGGCGAAAGCCUGACGUAGCGACACCGCGUGAGCGAAGAAGCCCCUUGGGGUGUAAAGCUCUGUCAGCUGGAACGAAAAAAUGACGGUACCAGCAGAGGAAGCAUCGGCUAACUACGUG
rnacentral:rRNA from 1 species